rnacentral:tRNA from 1 species
GGGCGCGUGGUGGAACUGGGAUACACGGCAGACUCAAAACCUGUUUCCUCUUGAGGAAUUGUCGGUUCAACUCCGACCGCGCCUACCA